GAUGAACGCUGGCGGCGUGCCUAAUACAUGCAAGUCGAGCGAACAGACGAGGAGCUUGCUCCUCUGACGUUAGCGGCGGACGGGUGAGUAACACGUGGAUAACCUACCUAUAAGACUGGGAUAACUUCGGGAAACCGGAGCUAAUACCGGAUAAUAUAUUGAACCGCAUGGUUCAAUAGUGAAAGACGGUUUUGCUGUCACUUAUAGAUGGAUCCGCGCCGCAUUAGCUAGUUGGUAAGGUAACGGCUUACCAAGGCGACGAUGCGUAGCCGACCUGAGAGGGUGAUCGGCCACACUGGAACUGAGACACGGUCCAGACUCCUACGGGAGGCAGCAGUAGGGAAUCUUCCGCAAUGGGCGAAAGCCUGACGGAGCAACCCCGCGUGAGUGAUGAAGGUCUUCGGAUCGUAAAACUCUGUUAUUAGGGAAGAACAAAUGUGUAAGUAACUAUGCACGUCUUGACGGUACCUAAUCAGAAAGCCACGGCUAACUACGUG
rnacentral:rRNA from 1 species